GGGUUGUGAGGUUAAGCGACUAAGCGUACACGGUGGAUGCCCUGGCAGUCAGAGGCGAUGAAGGACGUGCUAAUCUGCGAUAAGCGUCGGUAAGGUGAUAUGAACCGUUAUAACCGGCGAUUUCCGAAUGGGGAAACCCAGUGUGAUUCGUCACACUAUCAUUAACUGAAUCCAUAGGUUAAUGAGGCGAACCGGGGGAACUGAAACAUCUAAGUACCCCGAGGAAAAGAAAUCAACCGAGAUUCCCCCAGUAGCGGCGAGCGAACGGGGAGCAGCCCAGAGCCUGAAUCAGUGUGUGUGUUAGUGGAAGCGUCUGGAAAGGCGCGCGAUACAGGGUGACAGCCCCGUACACAAAAAUGCACAUGCUGUGAGCUCGAUGAGUAGGGCGGGACACGUGGUAUCCUGUCUGAAUAUGGGGGGACCAUCCUCCAAGGCUAAAUACUCCUGACUGACCGAUAGUGAACCAGUACCGUGAGGGAAAGGCGAAAAGAACCCCGGCGAGGGGAGUGAAAAAGAACCUGAAACCGUGUACGUACAAGCAGUGGGAGCACGCUUAGGCGUGUGACUGCGUACCUUUUGUAUAAUGGGUCAGCGACUUAUAUUCUGUAGCAAGGUUAACCGAAUAGGGGAGCCGAAGGGAAACCGAGUCUUAACUGGGCGUUAAGUUGCAGGGUAUAGACCCGAAACCCGGUGAUCUAGCCAUGGGCAGGUUGAAGGUUGGGUAACACUAACUGGAGGACCGAACCGACUAAUGUUGAAAAAUUAGCGGAUGACUUGUGGCUGGGGGUGAAAGGCCAAUCAAACCGGGAGAUAGCUGGUUCUCCCCGAAAGCUAUUUAGGUAGCGCCUCGUGAAUUCAUCUCCGGGGGUAGAGCACUGUUUCGGCAAGGGGGUCAUCCCGACUUACCAACCCGAUGCAAACUGCGAAUACCGGAGAAUGUUAUCACGGGAGACACACGGCGGGUGCUAACGUCCGUCGUGAAGAGGGAAACAACCCAGACCGCCAGCUAAGGUCCCAAAGUCAUGGUUAAGUGGGAAACGAUGUGGGAAGGCCCAGACAGCCAGGAUGUUGGCUUAGAAGCAGCCAUCAUUUAAAGAAAGCGUAAUAGCUCACUGGUCGAGUCGGCCUGCGCGGAAGAUGUAACGGGGCUAAACCAUGCACCGAAGCUGCGGCAGCGACGCUGAUGCGUUGUUGGGUAGGGGAGCGUUCUGUAAGCCUGCGAAGGUGUGCUGUGAGGCAUGCUGGAGGUAUCAGAAGUGCGAAUGCUGACAUAAGUAACGAUAAAGCGGGUGAAAAGCCCGCUCGCCGGAAGACCAAGGGUUCCUGUCCAACGUUAAUCGGGGCAGGGUGAGUCGACCCCUAAGGCGAGGCCGAAAGGCGUAGUCGAUGGGAAACAGGUUAAUAUUCCUGUACUUGGUGUUACUGCGAAGGGGGGACGGAGAAGGCUAUGUUGGCCGGGCGACGGUUGUCCCGGUUUAAGCGUGUAGGCUGGU
rnacentral:rRNA from 1 species